rnacentral:rRNA from 1 species
CCUACGGGUGGCAGCAGUGAGGAAUAUUGGUCAAUGGACGAGAGUCUGAACCAGCCAAGUAGCGUGAAGGAUGACUGCCCUAUGGGUUGUAAACUUCUUUUAUAUGGGAAUAAAAUGUUCCACGUGUGGGAUUUUGUAUGUACCAUAUGAAUAAGGAUCGGCUAACUCCGUGCCAGCAGCCGCGGUAAUACGGAGGAUCCGAGCGUUAUCCGGAUUUAUUGGGUUUAAAGGGAGCGUAGGUGGAUUGUUAAGUCAGUUGUGAAAGUUUGCGGCUCAACCGUAAAAUUGCAGUUGAAACUGGCAGUCUUGAGUACAGUAGAGGUGGGCGGAAUUCGUGAUGUAGCGGUGAAAUGCUUAGAUAUCACGAAGAACUCCGAUUGCGAAGGCAGUUCACUGGACUGCAACUGACACUGAGGCUCGAAAGUGUGGGUAUCAAACAGGAUUAGAUACCCUUGUAGUC